UACGAAGGGUGCAAGCGUUAAUCGGAAUUACUGGGCGUAAAGCGUGCGUAGGCGGUUUGUUAAGUCUGCUGUGAAAUCCCCGGGCUCAACCUGGGAAUGGCAGUGGAUACUGGCAAGCUAGAGUGUGUCAGAGGAUGGUGGAAUUCCCGGUGUAGCGGUGUAAUGCGUAGAGAUCGGGAGGAACAUCAGUGGCGAAGGCGGCCAUCUGGGACAACACUGACGCUGAGGCACGAAAGCGUGGGGAGCAAACAGG
rnacentral:rRNA from 1 species